GAUGAAGAACGCAGCGAAGUGCGAUAAGUAAUGUGAAUUUCAGAAUUCCGUGAAUCAUCGAAUCUUUGAACGCAAAUUGCACUUUCUGGUAUUCCGGAGAGUAUGCCUGUUUGAGGGUCAGUGUGAUAAAUAAAUCGUGGUUGUUACCACUUUUCGUGGUGACGCUUCGGAAUUGAGUCGUCUUACCUUCGGUUAAGUGACUUAAAAUUUUUUCAUACGAUUUCGAAACGUAUUUAAUGUAUUAUGUACGUUCACGAAUAUCGAAUGUUUAUUAGGUGCGGUCAUUUUCAUGAAUUCGCGUCUAUAAUUUUUUUUUUUGACCUCAAAUCAGGUAAGAGUACCCGCUGAACUUAAGCAUAUCAAUAAGCGGAGGA
rnacentral:misc_RNA from 1 species